UCCUCCCUCUUUCCUCGUGCUUAACACAUGCAAGUCGAACGGAAAGGCCCUGCUUUUGUGGGGUGCUCGAGUGGCGAACGGGUGAGUAACACGUGAGUAACCUGCCCUUGACUUUGGGAUAACUUCAGGAAACUGGGGCUAAUACCGGAUAGGAGCUCCUGCUGCAUGGUGGGGGUUGGAAAGUUUCGGCGGUUGGGGAUGGACUCGCGGCUUAUCAGCUUGUUGGUGGGGUAGUGGCUUACCAAGGCUUUGCCGGGUAGCCGGCCUGAGAGGGUGACCGGCCACAUUGGGACUGAGAUACGGCCCAGACUCCUACGGGAGGCAGCAGUGGGGAAUAUUGCACCAUGGGCGGAAGCCUGAUGCAGCAACGCCGCGUGCGGGAUGACGGCCUUCGGGUUGUAAACCGCUUUCGCCUGUGACGAAGCGUGAGUGACGGUAAUGGGUAAAGAAGCACCGGCUAACUACGUG
rnacentral:rRNA from 1 species